CGAACGCUGGCGGCGUGCCUAAUACAUGCAAGUAGAACGCUGAAGGAGGAGCUUGCUUUUCUGGAUGAGUUGCGAACGGGUGAGUAACGCGUAGGUAACCUGCCUGGUAGCGGGGGAUAACUAUUGGAAACGAUAGCUAAUACCGCAUAACAGUAGAUGUUGCAUGACAUUUACUUAAAAGGUUCAAUUGCAUCACUACCAGAUGGACCUGCGUUGUAUUAGCUAGUUGGUGGGGUAACGGCUCACCAAGGCGACGAUACAUAGCCGACCUGAGAGGGUGAUCGGCCACACUGGGACUGAGACACGGCCCAGACUCCUACGGGAGACAGCAGUAGGGAAUCUUCGGCAAUGGACGGAAGUCUGACCGAGCAACGCCGCGUGAGUGAAGAAGGUUUUCGGAUCGUAAAGCUCUGUUGUAAGAGAAGAACGAGUGUGAGAGUGGAAAGUUCACACUGUGACGGUAUCUUACCAGAAAGGGACGGCUAACUACGUG
rnacentral:rRNA from 1 species